GAUGAACGCUGGCGGCGUGCCUAAUACAUGCAAGUCGAGCGAACAGACGAGGAGCUUGCUCCUUUGACGUUAGCGGCGGACGGGUGAGUAACACGUGGGUAACCUACCUAUAAGACUGGGAUAACUUCGGGAAACCGGAGCUAAUACCGGAUAAUAUUUCGAACCGCAUGGUUCGACAGUGAAAGAUGGCUUUGCUAUCACUUAUAGAUGGACCUGCGCCGUAUUAGCUAGUUGGUAAGGUAACGGCUUACCAAGGCAACGAUACGUAGCCGACCUGAGAGGGUGAUCGGCCACACUGGAACUGAGACACGGUCCAGACUCCUACGGGAGGCAGCAGUAGGGAAUCUUCCGCAAUGGGCGAAAGCCUGACGGAGCAACGCCGCGUGAGUGAUGAAGGUCUUCGGAUCGUAAAACUCUGUUAUUAGGGAAGAACAAACGUGUAAGUAACUGUGCACGUCUUGACGGUACCUAAUCAGAAAGCCACGGCUAACUACGUG
rnacentral:rRNA from 1 species